rnacentral:rRNA from 1 species
CGCGGUAAUUCCAGCUCCAAUAGCGUAUACUAAAGUGUUGCAGUUAAAAAGCUCGUAGUUGGAUUUCUGGCGGGGACGGCUGGUCGGUCUCGAAAGGGGCUGUACUGUUGUUGGUUCCCGUCAUCCUUGGGGAGAGCGGCUCUUACAUUAAGUUGUCGGCGUCGGGAUCCCUAUCUUUUACUGUGAAAAAAUUAGAGUGUUCAAAGCAGGCUUAGGACCUGAAUACAUUAGCAUGGAAUAAUAAGAUACGACCUUGGUGGUCUAUUUUGUUGGUUUGCACGCCAAGGUAAUGAUUAAUAGGGAUAGUUGGGGGUAUUCGUAUUCAAUUGUCAGAGGUGAAAUUCUUGGAUUUAUGGAAGACGAACUACUGCGAAAGCAUUUACCAAGGAUGUUUUCAUUAAUCAAGAACGAAAGUUAGGGGAUCGAAGAUGAUUAGAUACCAUCGUAGUCUUAACCAUAAACUAUGCCGACUAGGGAUCGGUGGGUGCAUUUUUAGGCCUCAUCGGCACCUUAUGAGAAAUCAAAGUCUUUGGGUUCCGGGGGGAGUAUGGUCGCAAGGCUGAAACUUAAAGAAAUUGACGG